rnacentral:lncRNA from 1 species
UUCUGGGCUGGGGAGAUGGAACCCAUUUGAGAAGAAACUAUUUCAGCAUCACAGAAAGCAAAGACAAUGAUGAUUAGGAACACCUUUUCCUCCUGACUGAACUGCGGGCAAGCCAUUUCCCACCCUGGCCUGCCCUUCAGAGAGAAAACCAGCCGAAUACGGUGGGGUGAAUCCGCAGUCCCAGUUAUUGAAAGUCUGAGGCAGGAGGAUCAUGAUUUCAUGGCCAACUUGGGCUCUAAAGUG